UGCUCGUGAAUGGCCCUCCGAUUUCUGGCGUUGAUCGCAACAUGGCAUUGCAGCUUCCUAACAAGUGCACUGCUAAUUUUCAACCAUGUAAUGAAGACUGAACUUGUUCUUUAUGUUUUGAUAGACACACUCUUUCUUUUAUAUUUAUUUAUUACUAUAUAUUAUUUAUAUAAGUCUGGUCUGAUAAUUUGAUUGCUCUUGUUGCAGGUGAAAUUCUGAAGUAAAAGGAUGUUAUUGUGGGGCAGAGAAGAAUUUUAGGAAUAAAUGUGUGUGGAGAGCUGUUCUAGGCCUGUCCAUACAAUUUCUAGUGCUGCUAAACAUAAAGUUUUCCCUUAUGUUUUUAAUGGAAAUGCAGUUAAUAAUUUCUUGGUAUGUCCAUACAAUUUUUAAGCUUUUAAUGUGGGCUGUUUGUUGGAGAGGCUAAAUUGCGGCAGGUGGUCAGUGGUCUGGCCAAACAUUGCAGUCCAGAUCAGUUGACGAUAUGAAUAUUUAGUUAGUUACUUAUCAUUUUCUUUAGUUUGGAGGCACAAUUUUACUCUUGUAAACAGCCUCCUAUUGUACAUUCAGUUUAUCACAAUACCAUGAUCAGGAUAUAUUACUUUAUUAGUUGUUUUUGCUCUUAUUUACCUUGCAGAACCGCCAUGUGGUACUUAUCACUAACGUGAAACCUGGAAAACUAAGAGAUGUGAUGUGAUGCCAGAGUUUGUCAUUUUGAAGUUACAGGCCAAGUCAUUGUUGAUGCUGGUUUGCCUAGGCUUUUUUGCACAUGCUUUGGUAGUAGCUUAAUUUUAUGAAUAGUUUGGUUUAUUGUGGUUUAUUUUAUGGAUUGAAAAGUGAAUUUGAGAUGUAUAUAUUGAUAUUUUGGUAUAUAUUUUUUGGAUGUAGUAAUUUGAAACUGUAAACGAAUAGUAUUAUUGGGAUGUAUUUU
rnacentral:lncRNA from 1 species